rnacentral:misc_RNA from 1 species
AAGUCGUAACAAGGUCUCCGUUGGUGAACCAGCGGAGGGAUCAUUACAGAGUUAUCAAAACUCCCAAACCCAUGUGAACAUACCUCGCGUUGCCUCGGCAGGUGGCGCCCCGCCCUGUGAGGGCCUACCCUGUAGGAGCUCACCCGGUGGUCGCCCCUGCCGACGGCCCACGAAACUCUGUUUUUUUAUAGCAUUAGACCUCUGAAAAGAUAACCAAAUAAGUUAAAACUUUCAACAACGGAUCUCUUGGUUCUG